GGAAGAGGCGGGGCAUCCCGGGAGGCCUUCCGGGGCGGUGGGGGGAGUGGCGGCGGCGCGAUGCUGGUGCGGCCUGGUCUGGCCUCGUCUCGGUCUGCCGCAGUGCUUCCAACAGCUGAAGCAUUCAGCAUGGCUGGCCCCAGCACUGCAUUGCUUGAACUCCAGCCUGCCCGUGAAUAUUAGGGUGCUCUGUGCCACAGCAGGAGGCUUGGGUGGUGGAGUGGAUGGGCAAGUUCCACUGAAUCCUUGAGCCUGUAAGGAGCUGUUUUUCUUCCCUUCUGGAUUCAGCAGGUUCCUAAAGCUGUAGCGAGGGUUUGAACUUCCUCAUCCCUCUGCUGGACCAGAUUCGUUAUGUGCAGAGUCUCAAAGAAAUCAUCAUUAACGUCCCAGAGCAGUCAGCUGUCACCCUAGGCCAGCUAUGGGGUGGAAGAUCCUGAGUAUGCAGUGACCCAGCUGGCCCAGACCACCAUGAGAUCUGAACUUGGCAAACUCUCCCUCUACAGAGUCUUCCGGGUGAGCUGGGGAGGUGGAUCAUGGAGCUGCCAGCAUCUAGCAGCAUUUCUCAAAACCCUGGGGGGUCUGCAUGGCCAGGCUCAUACGCUUAACAGCAAAAUGCCCUUUGCUUAGAGGGCUUCUGUUUCAGUUGACCUAUUAGUGAAUCCUUGAAGAUGAGUCUUGUUUUGGUUAUUUUUUUUAACAGGAGCCCUGAACGGGGCUAAACAUGGAGCAGGGGUUCAGGCCAGCUCCUGAAGCCAUCGUCUCAUGGCCCUGCCUGCCCUGUCCCACUCCUACUGCCUGUCCAGUCUUAGAACAGAAUAGAAUAUUUCAGUUGGAAGGGACCUACAAUGAUCAUCUGGUCCAACUGCCUGACCAAUUCAGGGCUGACCAAAAGUUAAAGCAUGUUAUUAAGGGCACUGUCCAAAUGCCUCUUAAAUACUGACAGGCUUGGGGCAUCAACCACCUCUCUAGGAAGCCUGUUCCAGUGUUUGACCACCCUCUCUGUAAAGAAAUCUUUCCUAAUAUCUAGUCUGAUCCUCCCCUAAUGCAGCUUUGAACCAUUCCCAUUUGUCCUGUCACUGGAUACCAGGGAGAAGAGAUCAGCACCUCCCUCUCCACUUCCCCUCCUCAGGAAGCUGUAGAGAGCAAUGAGGUCGCCCCUCAGCCUCCUUUUCUCCAAACUAGACAAACCCCCAAGUCCUUAGCCACUCCUCAUAGGACAUGCCUUCCAGCCCUUUC